UACAGAGGGUGCAAGCGUUAAUCGGAAUUACUGGGCGUAAAGCGUGCGUAGACGGUUACAUAAGUCGGGUGUGAAAGCCCCGGGGCUCAACCUGGGAAUUGCAUUCGAGACUGCGUAGCUAGGGUGCGGAAGAGGGAAGCGGAAUUUCCGGUGUAGCGGUGAAAUGCGUAGAUAUCGGGAAGGAACACCAGUGGCGAAGGCGGCUCUCGUGGGACGGUACUGACGCUGAGACGCGAAAGCGUGGGGAGCGAACAGGG
rnacentral:rRNA from 1 species